rnacentral:tRNA from 1 species
CAAAAAAUAGUUUAAUAAAAAACAUUAAUUUUGGAGAUUAAAAAUAUAUAGAUUUAAAUAUUUUUUUGA